AAUAAAUAAAGAUAGAUGGGAUAUGUCUGCAAUAUCUUCGAGCACGCCGGAUCAGAGCCUUCAAGCUCAACUUUUCUUCUACUUUUCUCUCUAUGGAGUAGUCUCUCUCUCUAGAGCCCUGGGGGAAAUGAAGCAUGAAAGUUAAGAUUAUCUUAAAAGGAGAGACCUGCAUUUGAGACGAAGAUGGUGGAGAUAGUAUGUUCCUGGAGUGGAUUAACCAACCACUGGCCACAACGAUUAGCUGAAGAUUGGAAAUCUCGGACAGAUCACUAUAAAAGAAAUGACUAUAAUAUCCCAUUAACUCAUAAGGAUUACGUUAAGCAGUCAAAGUAGGUGGGGUAGCCGAAGAAGUAAGACCCUGGAUUGUAGUCCCAAAAGAGUUGAUAUGGUAGAUAUAUGUAAUAGUCGUUCCAAUCCAGGCCAUUCAGGAGAAACUUGGUGACAUCAUCAAUGGUUAUCACGUGAAGAUCUUAUCCAGCGUGCUCGAAGAUAAUGCAGACAUAUUCCAUCUAUCUUUAUUUAUUGUUUGUCUUAUUGAUUUACUAUUUGUUUGUAUUAUAGAAUUAUUUCUUUUAGGAUAAGAUAAGAUCAAGUGGGGUCCUAUCCCACCAAAACCUGAUCGUAAUCUUUUCUUUUCAAAAAGAAAGAUUCCAAAAGAUAUUUUGCCAGUUAGGGGUCCUGUCCUAUCGGCCACAUUUUGGAAUUUUUCAAUCAUGUAAUCUUUAUUUAUUGGGAUGCGUGUCAAAAUCUUAUCAUAAUUGUUAGUAGGCAGAAGGCCACAACAAUUCUAUAA